UAUUCAACAAUAUUAAGACCUAUCUGAAGAGCUCAACAAAAAGCUUGUUGUUUCAUAGUAGUGGCAGUCUAAGAGCACAGCCAUUCACUCAGCAUGUUUUAGAAUACUUUGGGUCAGUCUGGCAAUCUGAAAAACCCUAGAGAAAGAGGGCUGUGGUUCUACUUUAAAAAAAUUAAUAAUAGAUGCCCCAUGUUGCUACUGGAAGCAAUAAAGGAAGAGAAAACCAUAAGUAAAGUGUAACAGUCCAAAACAAAUAGCAGAAAACAAUCCACAAACGGAUCAGUGAGAGGACACUGUUGCUUGAGGGCAUCAUUCAACAGUUCUGCCUGCUUCAGCUGACCACAGUCCCUAGAUAUCAAGCACAUGCCUGAACGUUGAUUGUCUACGUAGAUAGAAGAACUAUUGCUGCUGGCUCAGAGAUGGAUGGACGGGGGGAGCAUGCUGCAGAGUCAUUCUGCAUUUCCCAGACAUAUUUGGCAGUCGGUGAGUCGCCUGCAGUGUAGUGUGGGUCCGCAGGGUCUGCUGCUUGGAACGUCACCAACACCUCUGGAGGAGCCCGCAGUACACGUCCUUCCUCCUCUACAGCCAGCCUCAACUGAGUGGAGCUGCCUCCUUUUUAUCUGGCUCUUCCACCUACAGCAUGCAUAGCAGAGGAAAGGGGGCGUGGCCUCCUGGGCCACAGUGAUUGGUCCAUCCCCGGUGGCCCACUGUGGGGUUGGUACAGCCUGUCACACACCCUCCCUCUCAAGUCAAGACCGGAUGGUGGUCACCCCUGGUCCCUCUCCCCUGCUACCUGGGAAAAGAAGUCCGCAUUCGUGUGGACUCGGCCCGGGUGGUGAAGUACCUUGAAU